AGGCCGCCUUUGCUCACUAGAAGCAGGGAUCCCUCUUCUUCCCCUGGCCCCUUUCUUUAAAACAGUUUCUUUUAAGUUUUCAUUUCUGUGUUCGUCCUCCUUCAUUCAGUCCCAUGGUAACUGUGGCAAACCAUGGCAAACUGCAGCAAGUGGCACCCAAACAGAGACCGUGGGGACAGAUAGAGAUUAGUAGAGACUAGCAGAGACUUGCAGGGACAGAUAGGGACAAACAGGGACAGAUAGGGUCCUAUAGGGACAUGAACGAAGAAGGUCUGCUGGAGCAGAAGUAGUAAACCCAGAUGAACCAGAAACCCCAUUACAAGUCUGCCAGCUGCAAUAUAAGGUCACUGCUCUAAAGAGGAGAUGAACAAACUCUAUGGGUGCCCUUAAGGUGUGUACGACCAUGGAAUAGGAGACUGGAGGGACCCAUGCAACCCAACUGUGGGCCUGGUUCCCCCAGUACGAGCUGAAUGCAAAGACAGAACGAACCAGCAAUUGAAGCCUGCACAUUUUGCAAUUACCUUUCUCAAUUAAUUUAAAAACACAAAGGGAGAGAUGUUGGAGACCGCAAGAAUGAGCGUUGUGACCAACUCAGUAUACCACUGGAGGCUAUGUGAGUAAAGAGCAAACUGUUCUUACAGGUUGUUGGCAAACUGACAAACGGUGUCUGCCACCCACAAGGAAUGCUGAGGGCAGUCACGCCCCAAGCACAAGUGUUGCUUGUGAUUAGGCACAUCUGAAGCCUGUUAGCAAUAAUGUGAACCUGUGAUCAAUUAAGCAGCUGACCAAUCGUUACCUCCUCCUCCCUGCUCUUUCUACUCAAUAAAUAAAAGGGCUGUAGAAGCUCAGGGUGGCUGCCUUUGCUCACUAGAAGCAGGGAUCCCUCUUCUUCCCCUAGCCCCUUUCUUUAAACUGUUUCUUUUAAGUUUUCAUUUCUGCAUUUGUCUGCCUUCAUUCAGUCCCGUGGUAACCAUGGCAAACCGCAGUAGAUGUUGUGUUAGCAGGGAGUAAGGAGGCUAGUCAGCACAGCAGUCAGAGCUCACAUCACAUUUAUGAGACAGGGUCUCUGUUUUCCAGGAUGGUCUUGAAUGUGUGGCUUCACACAAUCCUCCCAUCUCAGCCACCUGAAGUGCUGGGAUUACAGGCAUAAGCCACUGUGCCCAGCCUACAGCCACUCUAAAUUCUACAUUGACUACUGUUGUUCAUUGUCGGCACAAUGGAAAGCAAGGUUGUUUUGUACUGUUAUUGGUGUAAGGUAUCUGAGUUACCAGCAGCAAAUCUAUACAUGUCUGCAGCAACCUCAAUUCUUGACUCCUCAGAAGAAAGAAUUUCACGCGGGGCAUAAAGGCAGAAAAAGAGACCGAGGCAAGUUUCAGAGCAUGAGUGGAAGUUUACUUUAAAAGGCUGUAAAACAAGAAAGGAAAGGAAAGUACACUUGGAAGACACCCAAGCUGGCGACUUGAAGGACAAGCGCAAUGUUUUUUUUGAGACGGAGUCUCGCUCUGUCGCCCAGGCUGGAGUACAGUGGCGCGAUCUCGGCUCACUGCAAGCUCCGCCUCCCGGGUUCACGCCAUUCUCCUGCCUCAGCCUCCCGACUAGCUGGGACUACAGGCGCUCACCACCACGUCCAGCUAAUUUUUUUGUAUUUUUAAUAGAGACGGGGUUUCACUGUGUUAGCCAGGAUGGUCUCGAUCUCCUGACUUCGUGAUCCACCCACCUCGGCCUCCCAAAGUGUUGGGAUUACAGGCGUGAGCCACCGCGCCUGGCUUUGACAAGUGCAAUGUUUAACCUUGAUCCUCGGACUUUCUAGAUUGUCCCACUUCCGGCAUCUUGCAUCCCUUUCCCAUGAUUCUUCCCUUAGGGUGGGCUGCCCACAUGCUGGGUGCCCUCCUUACCCUUGGAAAGUGAGCAUGUACAGUGUGUUUGGGAAGUUGUAUGCAUGUGCAUCUGAGACUUUCUUCCCUUUUAAGGUAGAGUGCCCCCAGAAGGUUAUAUUCCGCCAUUUUGACUCUUAAUGUAUAUGCCUGGGAAGUUGCUUCUCCCUGGUAUCUAUGUUCAAUUAACACUUUAGUGCCACAAGUGUGGACCAUCAGGAAAUGGCCUCUCCCUGGCACCGGCUACCAAUUUAUCACUUUUAGAAAGGCAACGUGACAAUUGCCAAACCAUCACCCAACAUUCUUGGUGGGUGGGGGAGAGCCCUCCCCUGCCCCACUUAUGCCUCUAAACUACCUGUAACAGUACCAGAAGUCUAGUUUUACAGUAGCAUAUUUCCGUGUUAGACAUCAAAAUAUGCCACACUAAAAUAAGACUCAAACUUUUCAUAAAACAAAUUUACAUCUACGAAGGGAAUCUUCAUUUGUAAGGUUGUCACUCUGUCCCCACACUGGGAAGAGGUUGACUAAAUCUCUAGAGACUCCAAAUCAACGGUGAAGGUACUGACUUAAAUCUGCCGUGCAAAUUUUUCUUUUGUUUAAGGUGAUUUACCUGCCCAUUCUGUUUUGACUAGGCGUUUUCCCACAGC
rnacentral:lncRNA from 10 species